UACGAAGGGGGCUAGCGUUGUUCGGAUUUACUGGGCGUAAAGCGCACGUAGGCGGUUUGUCGCGUCGAAUGUGAAAACCCGGGGCUCAACCCCGGGCCUGCAUUCGAUACUGGCAGGCUAGAGUGCGGUAGAGGGUAGUGGAAUUCCCGGUGUAGCGGUGAAAUGCGUAGAGAUCCGGAAGAACACCGGUGGCGAAGGCGGUUAGCUGGGCAGUUGCUGACACUGGAGGCGACGACAGCGUGGGGAGCAAACAGG
rnacentral:rRNA from 1 species